rnacentral:rRNA from 1 species
CCAAUAGCGUAUAUUAAAGUUGUUGCAGUUAAAAAGCUCGUAGUUGAAUUUCGGGAUCAAUAUGUUGGUCGUGCCUUGGUACGUACUGGCAUUAUUGGUUUCUACCUUCUGAAGAACCUCGAUGUCAUUAAUUUGGUGUCUUGGGGAAUCAGGACUGUUACUUUGAAAAAAUUAGAGUGUUUAAAGCAAGCUCACGCUUGAAUACAUUAGCAUGGAAUAAUGAAAUAGGACGUUUGAUUCUAUUUUGUUGGUUUCUAGGAUCGACGUAAUGAUUAAUAGGGAUAGUUGGGGGCAUUAGUAUUCAAUUGUCAGAGGUGAAAUUCUUGGAUUUAUUGAAGACUAACUACUGCGAAAGCAUUUGCCAAGGAUGUUUUCAUUAAUCAAGAACGAAAGUUAGGGGAUCGAAGACGAUCAGAUACCGUCGUAGUCUUAACCAUAAACUAUGCCGACUAGGGAUCGGAUGAUGUUAAUUUUUUAAUGACUCAUUCGGCGCCUUAC